GGCGUGAUAGCUCAGUUGGGAGAGCAGCAGACUGAAGACUUGCUUUCUGAAGGUCCCGCGUUCAAUCCGCGGUCAUGCCA
rnacentral:tRNA from 1 species